UUAGGUUAGGUUAGCAGAUCGCUGAUAAGUGGGAUCUCACUUGGACAGCUUAGAGCGCCGGUCCGUUGUGGUUAGGUUAGGUUAGCAGAUCGCUGAUAUGUGGGAUCUCAC
rnacentral:lncRNA from 1 species